AUCCCACAUACUGAAUGAUGUGUUGCUGGUUGCUUACUUGUUAACAUUUUUUGAUUAGGUACAGAAUUAAAGAAAUUCUCUCACUGCUUUUGUUCAGGUCAAUUGAGUUAAGUAGUUAUAUACUUAUUUUACCCUAAGCUCAAGUGGGGACUACAGUGUAGUGAGAGAUUUUUGCCUUGAAAGUUUUGAAUAAAGGCUUGCAGAAAAACCUUGAAAGGGGGUUUAAAUUUGUAAAUUUUUUCUCAAUUGGACAUAAAAAGAGUGAUGACAGUAUCAGGACACUUUAGUGUGCAUAAAAUAGUAAUUAGUUUUAAAAUUAAGGCUUAAAAUAAAUAAAAAUUAAUAGUUUAAAUUUAUAAAAUCCAAUAUAGAGGACCAAAAUGGCAGAUACAGGGAAAGAUCACCUAGAACUUUUUAGGAACUCCUAGAACCCAAGAUGGUGCCAGGGAGAAGUAGUCACAUGUAGGUACACAUGAGUUAGAAAGCAGGUAGCUGAUUGGCUAAGAGAAUGUCACCCUACUGAAAGAGCAACCAAUCAGAGACUGAGAAAAUAUCAUGCCACUGAAAGGCAACCAAUCAGAGCUGAGCAGGGUAGACUGGAAAGUGUAUAUAAGGGCAACAGCCACUAGAGUGAAUUCCUAAUGGUUUAAGACCUUCAAGAAGAACAGAAGCUGCAAGACUCCUACCCGAGAAGAGGGUUCUUAGGCAGCUUUGGGUAGACUCUUGUGAGGCUUUGGGAAGGGGUUGCUUUGGGGUUCUGAAGAACCACCACUUACAAGGGGCAUCAAGACGUAGCCAGCAAAACAAGCUGGAUUUUGGGUGGAGUCUUGUGAGAGUUUGGCGGGGGGUUGCUUUGGGGUUCCAGAAAGAGACUGCCUGCUAGAAGCCUCAAGAAGCAGCAGUUGCAGCAGCAAAAGAACCCUGAGGUUGCCUGGGCAAUGGUUGCUAUAGCAACCAAACCAACAGCCUCUGCCAGCAGCAGUUCUGUAGCUGUUGCUCCCUGCCAUAAUCAGCACUGGUGUCGUGUACCAUCUGGGAGGAACAGCAGUGAGACAGAGCAAAAGGACCUUGAGGGCUCAAGAGCUACAGAGGGAAUAACAGAAGUUCAGCUCCUGGAGUGAAGUGAUUAUGUGAGAAUCUCAGCUUUUAUUUUAAAAAAGGAUGUUUCUAGCCCUCAUGGUUCUGGAGGAAAGCAAUUGAAUCAACUGACUGUAUGCAAUGUUGUUGCAGUAUAGGAGUGAAAGCUAAUGACACCUUGUACACCAGAAAAUUCACACGUUACCUGGCAGCAGAGGGAAGAGUAGCACAUGUCCACACGUGUCUACAAAACUAGUAAAGCUACACAGGAAAGAAAAUCCUCAUGUUCAGAGGAUGGAUGUGAAGAUCGAUGCUGAAUAUGUUCCCAUUAGAGGAAGCAUGCAAUCAGUGGAAGAGUCUAGAGACUCUGAGCAACAUACACUGCUGCCAUGGCAGCACUAAGGGGUCACCCCUCGACAGCUACAGAACAUCUGCACCAGACGAGGAGGAGAAAGAAGAGGACUUGGGAUGGCAUAUUCAUUGAGAUCCUGCAAGCCAGUGCUGCAUCAGACCUAGAGCAAAAGGCCUGGAUGGUGACUAUUGCAGACAUCCUGGAGAAGGAAAGAGAAGACUGGAGAAAGGCCCCUGAGUCCCAGAAGUCAAAGAAGAGGAAGAUGCACAAGGACAUAAUGGGCUUCUCCAGCAGCAAACACAGACUCUUAUGGACCUACAGAUUUAACAAUCACAGACUGUCCGCCCUUUGCAGUCCAUUACAGCAACUUCUACGCCUCCCCCCCCUCAACAUUCCACAUGGCAUCAGGGGCCUCAUCCCUACCUACUACUCCACUCUGGGGGACAUUAGAGACAACCACAGCUUCACAUACACUGACCUGUGAAAGCCACAGUUGCUGAAUGUGUAGGUAAAAUGGACAUAAAUGUUCUUUCCCCUUCAUAAGUUCUGCUCCAUUAAUUUAUUAAGUUUUUAAUGUAUGUGCUUUUAAAUUGCACAGAUUUUUCUUUGCACUGGUUUUGUUACUGACUACUAUUCUAUUAUUUGGAAAAUAAUUCAUCUUUAUUAGUUCACAACAUAUGCUGCAGAGUGCCUAGCAGCUUUGAAGGCACCCACUUAUUUGUUACUGUUCAGUGUGACAACUCACAGGAUCAGUGACAAACACAGUGCAAUUAUCAUAAAUGGAUAGGAAGCAUUGGAAAAUUAAUAGGUCAUUGACUGUUAUAUUCGUAGAUGUACACCAAGCACCAUGCAAUUCCCAACAGGCCCCCAAACAGCAGGUUCAGGUAGAACACAGCAAACCCCAAAGCAUUACUUUGGCUCACUUUUAAAGUGCUCUUUCAAAGCCUCCCUUAGCUGAAUAGCUCUGUGUUCAGCUCUUCUAAUAGCCCUUGUGUCUGGCUGUUCUAACUCAGCCGACAGCUGUUCCACCUCCACCCCAGUGGCAACUUUUCCCCCUUUGCUUCAUGGAUAUUAUACAGGACACAGAAGGCAGCUAUAAUUAUUGGGAUGUUUUUUUCUCUGAGAUCCAAUCUUGUAAAUAAUCAAUACCAACAUCCCUUCAAUCUACCAAAAGCAUAUUCAACUGUGAUUCUAUACCUGCUAAACAGGUAGUUGAAUUUUCUUUCGUACUGUUGAGAAGGCUGGUAUAUGGCUUCAUGAGCCAGGGAUCAAGGGGCAGGCUGGGUCCCCCUGGAUCACUAUUGGUAUUUCAACAUUGCCAAAGGUAAUCCACUGGUCAGGAAAGUAAGUCCCUGCUUGUAGCUUUCUGAACAGUUCUGUGUUCUUGAAGAUGUGAACAUCAAGCACCUUUCCUGACCAGCCAACAUUGAUGUCAGUGAAGCAUCCCCAGUGAUCCACCAGCGCUUGCAUAACCAUAGAAAAGUAGCCCUUUCUGUUGAUGUACUCUGUGGCAAGGUGGUCUAGUACCAAAAUAGGGAUAUGCUGUGGCAUCUAUUACUCCACUGCAGUUUGGAAAUCCUAUUGCCACAAAUCUAUUCACUGUGUCCUGCGUGUUGCUGAGAGUCACAGUCCUGUGUAGCAGAAAACUUGUAUGACAAAAGCCUCACAGUGGAUUUCCCAACUCCAAAAUGAUUUCCUGCUGACUGGUAGCAAUCUGGUCUUGCAAGUUUCCACAGUAUGAUCGUCACUUGCUUCUCCACUCCCAGUGCAGCUCUCAUUUUGGUGUCCCUGUGCUGGAGGUUUGGGGAAAGCUUGGCACACAGAGCCAGGAAUGUGGCCUUGCACAUCCAAAAGUUUGAUAGCCACUGCUCGUCAUCCCAAACUGGCAUUACAAUGCGAUCCCACCCAUCAGUGUUUGUUUCUCAGGCCUAGAAACGGCACUCCACCAUCUGUAGCUUUUACAUGAAUGACACCAAUGACCUUAAAUUGGUUCUUGCUAUGUCCCACAGCAAUCUGUCCUCCAAGAAAUUAUGUUCCCUGAUGAUUCGGUUCUUCUUUAGGCUCUGCAAAUACUGGAGGAUUGUGCAUCCUGUGCUUGCAACGCUUAUGACAAUAGUGCAGAGCUGUGCAGGCUCCAUUCUUCUGUCAGAGAUAGCAGACCAUGGUAGGUUCAUGGUAUUUUUUAAAAAUGUGCAAAACUUAUGGGACAUACAUGACAUUGUGGGAUGGAGACAGUUGCACAGUGGGAAGUUGACCCCUUGCUCCCAGUCACUGUGAGGCAAACCUGCAGUCAACCCAGGGCUGCUUGCUCAGCUCCCCAGAGACUCAAUAGGUGCCCCUCCAACAGACAGGGAUAUUAGUUGGUGGCUCCUUCAUGGAGCUGUGAGUGCGGGCGCAUACCUGGCAUGAUUCACAACCGCCCCGACACCUGCUCCUUCUGUGGCGAGAGGGUGACCCUGGCACACAUUUACAUUGAGUGCACCAGGUUGCAGCCCCUCUUAUGCAGUCCUGGAGCUCCUUUAGAACCUCUUCCUUAAGUUCUGGUUGCACUUUUUCCUGCACUUCCUUAUUUAUGCACACCCAAUCCGUGGCGCCACUGUAAAAGUCCUCUCUUCUAUCAUGUUUCUGAGCAGCGUUCCUCUGGGCAGUGUCCACUGGCUCCCCGGAUGCCAUUGAGGAGCAAUGGGCUCUGUCCAGCGUUCUCUGCUCAGGGUCCCCUCUGGAUCCUUGAUUUUGAAACUGUGACCUUCACUCCCAUCCCUGUUUUUUCAUUAGUUGUCCCCCAUGAUUAAUUGGUGCCUGGGUCUGGUGGCUCCUCUCCUUAGGCUUAGGGAGGGGCCUUUAGAUGUGGGUAGGCCCAUACCCAGUGCCUCAGUAGCUGCCCUGACUUACCCUGCCAACAGAACCUGCAGUGACUCAGCCUUCAGGCACAUGUCAGCUAUCCCUGAGCUGAGCCUGGUUAGAUGACCCUCAGGCUCAGGUAUUUCCCCAACCCUGCCAGAGCUGCAGAUCUGUGUGUGCAACAGCACUACCUGGCCAGGGAGGGACUCUCCUGCUGCCACACAGUGUAACAGACUCUCUAGACUGCUCUGGAACCUGUUCCUGCUCCUGCCCAGCCUUGCCUGAGCCCUGUCCAGUCUUGUUCUUGUCCUACUUUGACCUUGCUCCAGCCCUGUUACAAACUCACUCCAGCUUUGCCUCUGCCUCCUGACCCUCCUGGACUCCGAAUAUCUGUCUUCGAUCCCUUGCUUGUACCUGGACUCCAGCUGUUGUACUGAUUUUGGCUUGUCUACAGACUCUGAUCUCAGUUCUGAUCCUUGCCUAUCCCUGGAUCUCAAUUCUAGUGCUACCCUCAGUCCAGUCCUGACCCUAUGUCUGGGUUUUGACCUCCACUCCAAUCACGAGGCCUGACUAUCAGGAGGCAGCGCAUAAUUAAGCCUUGUGUUGGAGGCUGCGCAGGGGUACCCAGAGCAUAGUAAGCCAGGGAAGGGCCACGGGAUCUGUGCUUAAGGGGGGCCAGUCCCUUCAGAGCAAUGAUGGAUGGGGCAGUAUCUGUUAUUUUAACGCUUGUAUUAGAGUAGUAUCUGCAUUAUGUGACCCCAUGGCCGGCUCACAGGUAGAGAUGUGUAUCUAGGAAUGUCAUCUUUCCUAGCCCCUCAUUUGGUACUCUGCACAAGGCCUGAUUACUUAAGUUUUAUGCAGUUAAGGUGGAUUUCAUCCCGAGUGAUUAGAGAGAUUAUUUUGCCUGUCAGCUUCCUUCACAGAUCUGUUAAAAAUCAACACUUCAGAAGCUGAGCUCAAGCAGCGAUCACAUCUGAUUUAUUCAUUUUCACAGCAGACUACAGCUAUACCCUAUUAUUUUCUU